UUUAGUUUGGCAGAGUUAAUGUGUCAGAUUUAGGUUCUGAAGACGAGAGAUUCAACUAAAG
rnacentral:tRNA from 1 species